rnacentral:rRNA from 1 species
AACGAACGCUGGCGGCAGGCUUAACACAUGCAAGUCGAGCGCCCCGCAAGGGGAGCGGCAGACGGGUGAGUAACGCGUGGGAAUCUACCCAUCUCUACGGAAUAACGCAUGGAAACGUGUGCUAAUACCGUAUACGUCCUUCGGGAGAAAGAUUUAUCGGAGAUGGAUGAGCCCGCGUUGGAUUAGCUAGUUGGUGGGGUAAAGGCCUACCAAGGCGACGAUCCAUAGCUGGUCUGAGAGGAUGAUCAGCCACACUGGGACUGAGACACGGCCAAGACUCGUCCGGGAGGCAGCAGUGGGGAAUAUUGGACAAUGGGCGCAAUCCUGAUCCAGCCAUGCCGCGUGAGUGAUGCAGGCCUUAGGGUUGUAAAGCUCUUUCACCGGUGAAGAUAAUGACGGUAACCGGAGAAGAAGCCCCGGCUAACUUCGUGCCAGCCGCCGCCGUAACAC